ensembl:processed_transcript C430002N11Rik RIKEN cDNA C430002N11 gene
GCCUCUGCUUCAGCUCCUGCCUCCAGGCUUCUGCCUUGAGCUCCUGAUCUGGCUUUUCUCAGUGAUGGACUGUAACUGAUCUGAGGCGACCCCUGAGGAAGAAUUGUUUGACCAUCCCAAAGGGAUCAAGGCUCACAGGUUGAGAACCGCUGCUCCAGCCCCUUCGGCUGUUUUUAUUGCAGGCAUUGAAUGAGCUUCGGCUUGGAUGUCAGACUCCCGUUCCACUUCAUAUGUCAGCAUGUCAGUCAUUCGAGGAGUGUCUACAAGCAAGUGACAGAAGGAGGUUCAGCCCUAACUUAUCUAACCCUCUUCAGGCUGAAGACAAAAAGAUAAGACUAAGACGAAGACCCACCCUUCAUCCAGCUCUCCAGGAAUAACAGUAAUUGGAGGUAGAAUAAAGCAUUAGUCACAGACAGCUCCUGCUUAGGCUCUGAAACCUGU